GAUGAAGAACGUAGCGAAAUGCGAUAAGUAAUGUGAAUUGCAGAAUUCAGUGAAUCAUCGAAUCUUUGAACGCACAUUGCGCCCGCGAGUAUUCUCGCGGGCAUGCCUGUCCGAGCGUCAUUUCAACCCUCAGGGCCCGCCUGCUUGCAGGCGCGGCGCUGGUGUUGGGGAUCGGCUACCCUGCCGUCCCCCAAAUACAGUGGCGGUCUCGCUGCAGCCUCCCCUGCGUAGUAGCAACACUCGCAUGCGGAGCGCGGCGCGGCCACGCCGUAAAACCCCCGACUUUCUGAACGUUGACCUCGGAUCAGGUAGGAAUACCCGCUGAACUUAAGCAUAUCAUAAGCGGAGGA
rnacentral:misc_RNA from 1 species